rnacentral:hammerhead_ribozyme from 1 species
AUCCAGCUGACGAAUCCUAAAUAAGAAUAAACGCUCGUCAUGGAU